rnacentral:rRNA from 1 species
UGUCCUACGGGACGCAGCAGUGGGGAGUAUUGCACAAUGGGGGAAACCCUGAUGCAGCGACGCCGCGUGAGCGAUGAAGUAUUUCGGUAUGUAAAGCUCUAUCAGCAGGGAAGAAAAUGACGGUACCUGACUAAGAAGCCCUGGCUAACUACGUGCCAGCAGCCGCGGUAAUACGUAGGGGGCAAACGUUAUCCGGAUUUACUGGGUGUAAAGGGAGCGUAGACGGCAGGGCAAGUCUGGAGUGAAAGGCAGGGGCCCAACCCCUGGACUGCUCUGGAAACUGUCCGGCUGGAG